rnacentral:rRNA from 1 species
GACGAACGCUGGCGGCGUGCCUAAUACAUGCAAGUAGAGCGCUGAAGGAGGAGCUUGCUUCUCUGGAUGAGUUGCGAACGGGUGAGUAACGCGUAGGUAACCUGCCUGGUAGCGGGGGAUAACUAUUGGAAACGAUAGCUAAUACCGCAUAAGGGUAGAUGUCGCAUGACAUUUGCUUAAAAGGUGCAAUUGCAUCACUACCAGAUGGACCUGCGUUGUAUUAGCUAGUUGGUGAGGUAACGGCUCACCAAGGCAACGAUACAUAGCCGACCUGAGAGGGUGAUCGGCCACACUGGGACUGAGACACGGCCCAGACUCCUACGGGAGGCAGCAGUAGGGAAUCUUCGGCAAUGGACGGAAGUCUGACCGAGCAACGCCGCGUGAGUGAAGAAGGUUUUCGGAUCGUAAAGCUCUGUUGUAAGAGAAGAACGAGUGUGAGAGUGGAAAGUUCACACUGUGACGGUAUCUUACCAGAAAGGGACGGCUAACUACGUG